GAACGCUGGCGGCGUGCCUAAUACAUGCAAGUCGAACGGCUUUUCUAUGGAAGCUUGCUUCCACUGAGAAGAUAGUGGCGGACGGGUGAGUAACACGUGGGUAACCUGCCCAUAAGAGGGGGAUAACAUCCGGAAACGGGUGCUAAUACCGCAUAGUUUUCUUGAUCGCAUGAUUGAGAAAGGAAAGACGGCCUUUGUGCUGUCGCUUAUGGAUGGACCCGCGGCGUAUUAGUUAGUUGGUGAGGUAAUGGCUCACCAAGACGAUGAUACGUAGCCGACCUGAGAGGGUGAUCGGCCACAUUGGGACUGAGACACGGCCCAAACUCCUACGGGAGGCAGCAGUAGGGAAUCUUCCGCAAUGGACGAAAGUCUGACGGAGCAACGCCGCGUGAGUGAAGAAAGGUUUUCGGAUCGUAAAACUCUGUUGUCAGAGAAGAACAAGUUGGAGAGUAACUGCUCCAGCCUUGACGGUAUCUGACCAGAAAGCCACGGCUAACUACGUGCCAGCCGCCGC
rnacentral:rRNA from 1 species